UUCUUACUGUCCAAAUUGGGUGGUGCUUUUUAAAAAAAACACAAACCAUUAUACGUUUUUUUAAAUCAUAAAAAAGCAGAAUGUAAGUGAAAUUUUUUAUAGGGAAGGAAAGACCCAACAUUGCUUUUAUUUUGAAAAGGGGAAAAUAUGUGGCCAAAUUAAACUUUAGAACUAGAAUUGUAUAAUUAUGAUAAUUUUUUGCAAAUCAGAGGAGAUAAUGAAUUUAAAACAUUAUUUCUGUUUACAUCAUUGAAGGAAGAGUGUUAUGAUGUUGGUAGUACAUAUGAAUGUGAAUCUCUUACAGCUUCUAAAAGUUGCAGUCUGUACUUUGAUCUUAGAUGCAAAGAAUAUAGGACAUUUAUUGGUAUAUAUGUUAAGGCAAAAUUAGUGAUAAAUAGAACUAUAACAAGUAGAGAAAAUAAAACAGUAUAAUUUCCAACAUUGUUGGGUGGGUUUAAUAGGAUAGUUAUCAUUACACUAAGUCAUACCUUUGAUUUUAGUAUCUUCAAAGAGUUGCUAAAGUGUUUUUCCUUGAAUCUUAAAGUUGUAAUGUUUAUUUGACACACUACCUAUUGUUAGGUUUACUUCUAUGUUUUAUCUCUAUAUCUAGAGUUGAAGGAGAAACAUAAUCCUUUACUUAAACAUUAGUAUCUGAAAAUUUGCUGUAUUUUGGUUUAAUUUUUAAUACUUUAUUUUCUUACUUUAAGCAAUACGAAAUCUUAACAUAGGAAGGAACAUUACUAGCAUAGCACAAUCUAUAUUAACAUUACAGUUUCCAAAAGAUACAAUUUUAUUCUUAUCUUGUAUAUGCAAAUGUUUUGUGGGGUUUUUAGAAAGAUAAAUUAGCACUAAAAAUUUUAGCUGUACAUUUUAUUUGAUUCCUUUUUGUAUCAUUUUGAUAUUGAUAUAGUAAGUUAUAAGACAUCAUUAAUUUAUAGUGUUGGUGUUUUCAUGAAUCAUAUACACAAUGUUGCUUUGAAAUUUGCUUUUUGAUGCUUUCUGGGCUUUGGAAAAAUAGCUCAUUUAAAAUUUGUGUCAUUGUAAUGAAAUCUAUCUAACAACAUUGUCUUGCAAAUGCUUCCCCAAAGGAUUUCAGGAAUAGUUUAAACAUAGUGAACACAUUUGGUGAUAUAGUUCAAUACUUAUGUAUUGAAGAUGUUUCAUACAGCAAGAGGAAAAAUUAUCUGUGUCUUGAAAAUGCUAAGGAGUAUGUGAUAUUACUAAAAACCUCACCGACAACCAUCAAUUAAAAACUUAUGUAUUUUAUAGUUGUAUUAUUUGGGGUUUUUUUUGCUCUGGCUUCAGACAAUUAAUUUUUUAAAAAUAUUAUUAAAUGACACAAAUUACAUUUAUUGACUACAUAUUAUGCCACUUGUUAACUAAAUUUCAGUGCCUAAUAAACAUUUUUUACCAUAGAACUUUUAACUACAGAGUCUUAGUUGUGUCCAGUUUAGUGGAGCUAUAUUUUAAAACACAACUUUUAUGAGUAAGUGCUGCUUUUCAAAAUAAAACUGGGGGGACGAAGGUGGGAGAUUUGUGCUUGAUUGCCAUCUCAUUUCCAUCUUUGGAUACAGCUUUAGCAUAAAGUUAAACAACAUCUGCAGAGAUCUGACUGACAAACAUCUCUCUGGGACUCAUCAUUGCAGCCUGCAGCAGGUGCAUUCAGCUUUGCAGUCUUUUCCAAAAAGAGGUUAGUUUGUUUUAACAUUUAUCAGUAGACCAGUGGGAGCAAGUGACUAGAGAGAAGAGGUUAGUUGUCACUUGUUCAGUACUGGAAUACUACAGGUAAUUGGACUGGACUGGUGGGAGCUGCAACAGUGUAUAAUCUCACGUUGCACUGCAGCUGCUAUGGAGCUUAAUUAUCCUGACCCUUAGAGACUGAAGUGUCAUGGUAUAAGACGCAACACGCAAGGAAUGAAGUAGUGGUUUUCAAUACUUUCUGAUACUUGGGUUGAUGAAGUUUCCAUUUUCCUCAUCUUAUUCUUUAAAGGUAUGGCAUCAGCUUUCCCAUAUCUUUAAUAUGGAAAUAUUUUCAACUGAAUUGAUUUUUCAUGAGUCUGAUAGAAUGUAUAUAAAACAAGGAUAGGGUCUUUAGGUAUAGAAAUAAAAAGAAAAUAACCUUAAGUGAGAAGCAUUUACAUUUCACAAUUCCACCAGUACAUAUUUAAAACAUGAGUGAGUGGAAAUAAGUGGAAGUACUUGGUAGUUUUUUAAAAAAUAUUAUCUCAGAUUACCAUUUAUUUUUUAUAGGAAGUUAAAAAAAUGUAAUAUUUAAGUUGUAUCUUUUUAGAAUAUUGAUGGCUUUGGCAAGUAAACUUUGCAGAGUAGUUUGAAGUGUUCCAACAAACAGGAUAGGUGUAGCAUAUGAAAAAUAUUUUUUAAGAUUUUGAACUUAAUGAGUCCUAUUGAAAUAUUUCCCACAUUUAAUUACAAGUAAAUUAAAAUUUAGUCAAAAUCUCAAAAAAUUGGUCUGUCAUUUAUUUCCGUUGUUUUUAACUUUUCAAUCUGUUUGAAGUAUUGACUUUGAGUAUGCAUCUAUGACAUAUGUAAGUUUCUUGUGUGUUCUAAUAGUAUUCCCAGUGAAUAUAGAUAUCACAGUCCUGUUCAUUAAUCAGCCCUUAAAUAGGCAAUAUAUUCAAAGGUAAAAAUACAUUUAAACAAAAUCUGGCAAAAUCUGUAUUAUCUCAAAAUAAUUUGGAAUGUAAAAACCAUUUGAAGUCUUUGUAAAACAGUUUUAUAGCUUUGACUUUUCUACUAACUUUACUAAUCUGAAUUUUUUGGUAUCCACUGAAUAUAAUUUGUUAUUUACCAAACAGUAAUUAAGUUUUGGAGUUUUCACAGACUUUUUUUCUAACAUUUUUGGAAACUGUGUAUUUUUCCUGAAGGAGUAUUUACCAGUAUUGGUAAUAACUGAUUGAUACUGAAGAUACUACUUGAGAAGAAAAUAAGUUUUACUUUAAUUAUGAAUAGAUGGUAAUUAUAGUAGUUAAAAGAAAUAAGAUUAAAGCUAUGCUAUCUAGAGGUCAAGAGAUUCAUUUCAGUACUUUAAAACAUAAAUUAUUUUAUUCUCUAGUCAAAGUUUUUCAUUUUUGACAUGAUUAACUAUUUUUAAUCAAUUCUUAUCAAUAUAGAAAUACUUUAAAAUUUCACAUAUAUACUUUUGCUAUAAUUUUUAACUUUUUGUUUAAUAAGACAUUGAAUAAGAAUAAACAUUUUAAGACUACAAGUAAAAAAGAGAAUUAUUUACACUGAUAAACUUUUUGAGAUGUUUUCAGUAUUUUCCAAGUUUCACACCACUGUAUGGAUAUCCUUUUCUAUGACAAAUCUUGAUCAUGAAAACACCUACUAUCUGCACUCCAUCACUGAUAUUUUGCUGCUUCCUGCAGGGCCUGUCAUAGCAUUGUUGGCAGGAACAGAUGAAAAAUGAAAUUAAUGUCUUGAGGUUUUUAACAGCAAAAUGAUUAAGGUGCUGACAGCUGCAGAAGAAAUUGUACAUGAUGCUGUACAGAAGGUAUUUCUCCACUGUGCCAUCUGCAGAGUGAAACUGACUAGGAGUACUACAUAGACUCACCUAUGCAACUGUAUGCCACCGUGUUCCCUUUAUCUUCUUUGGCCCCUGAUGUACUAGCAAACUAAGAAUGAUGUUAUCUCAGCAAUGUCAAAAUGUCAAGUAAUGAGGAUCCUACCUAACCUUAAGGUGAUAUUGUAUCUUCUUUUUCUUUUUAUUAACAUCUUUGGUUUAGUUCUACAAAUAGCACUGAAUUGCUACCUUCGUAAAAUUAUGAAGUGAGUACCUCAAGUAAAUUUGAUUGUGAUGUUUUAGUUUUGGAGAAGAUGCUUUAUAAAAUAAUACUUGGUAAGGGUAUUAAGAGGUUUGACAUGCAAAAAUGUGGCAUACAUAAGUUUGUUGAUAAAAAAUUAAAAGUGUUUAUUAUAGGACUCUUUUUUAAUCUGCUGAUGAGCACUGUGAAUCAUUUAGAGGCGAGGACAUAAAUGCAGUUUUUUCCCUCAAAAGUAUUUGACCAGAGAUAUCUUUUUUUCAUAAAGCAUAUUAUAUGACAAAUAUUUUAUAGGACAUACUUUGAGAACUGUUAGGCAAAUAUUUGGGAGCUUUAAUACUUUAAAAAGUCUUGUAUCUUCAAUUUAAAAUGAUUAGAGACACAAUUAUAUUUUUUAUUGUAAACAAUACUUUCUGCAAUUUCUAAAUUUUCUUGAAGUGAUAACUUCAGAAUUUUAUGAAUAUGGUCACAUUUUUUCAACUGAUAAUAAUAUCUGUUUUUCUUCCACAUACUGUGUAUUGCCUGAGUUUUUCCUAUCUAUCUCCAUUUCUUUUCAUAUUCCCCUUGAACUUUUUACUCAGCUAUACUCUUCUUAAAAGAGACAUCAUAGUUCUGAAAAUCCUUUUGAUUUCUCUUUUUUUUUUUCUCCUGGGAGGUAGGAUACUGUUCUUUUAAAUAUGCUUUGAAGUGACCUUUACACGUGUAGUUCUCUUUUCCUGGGAUGGCCCCUUACCUCAAGAGCUUUUUGUGAUUUAGAACUCUGGUUAAGUGUGACCCACUCAGUAAGCCAAGCAGUAAGCUUUUCCUGCCAUCUAUUUAUUCAUUCAUUUAAUCUGUUAUAAAUCACAAAUAUUUAGUAAGUAUUUGACACAUAUGCACAUGUGUGCCAGGAUGCUGUGAGUAUAAAUAUAAGAAUAUGAAUAUGUAAAGAGCUUACAUUCUUAUGAGCUCUACAGGUUAGUGAACAGGCAAUAAUUGCUGUUAUGAGUAAGUACACAAAAAGAACACAUAAUCUAGACUGUGGAAACCAGGGAACACUUCUCUGGUAAACUGAUAAAUGGGCAAAGAUUGGAAGGAUAAAUAGGAGUUAGCGAGGUAAAAGGAUGAGUAUGCAAUCAGAACACCUGAGAAAAGUGUAAAAAACUUGGAUAGACAUAAAUGAAAAUCAGUGUAAUUACUAGGGAAAUAGCCAGGAAGACAUUGAUAAUAUGUGGUAGGAGAAGUGUUAUAGUAUUUAUAGUAUUAACAAAUAUCACGGCUUUAAGAACUCUAAGUCUGGACUUUGAGACCACGCUGGAAUUGACUAUGGCUAAUAAGAAGGUUUUCUGCUAUGUACAAAACACUUUAUAAGUCACACACAUUGAGUUUGUUUUUUCAUACCAUAGCCAUAUAACACUACAAUGGAAAGAAGGCCCUACCUAAAUUUCCAUAAGAGAGUAAAUUCCCAACAAGGUUGGAUAGAUCACUUGUGUACCUCUUUUCCAUAUCUGAGAAAUACGGAAGUGCUUAAAGUCCAUAUAUGUUUUGUCCAGACUGAGUGGUCAAAGUCCUUGUAAAAUUUUUUACAGGCUACACACUGCUGUUACCCAUAGAGUUUCUAUAUCACUUUCCUGUUUUCCUUGAGUUACACAUAAAGAACAGUAGCCUAUAGCAUAAAAGUUUCUUUUCAAUACGGAUAUCUACCCUGCAUUAUUAAGUAUUAGACACGAAGGAAAACCAAUUUGCUGCAUCAUACAAAUUCACAUUGUUUUAUGUAUACUUUUAGACUGUUGGUCUCUAAUUUUAUUUUUUCUUACCUUUAUUUGUGUUUAUUUAAAUAAAUUUUAUUGUGUAUAGUUAAGGUAUAUGACAUAAUGUUAUAAGACAUAGAUACAGGUUUUUCAGCAGUGAAAUGGUUACUACAAUAGAGCAAAUUAACGUAUCUAUCAUUUCUCAUAGUUACCUAUUUUGCCUCCUGUGGCAAGAACAGCUGUAAUUUUAUUUAGCAAAAAUCCUGGAAACAAUAUACUAUUAUUAGCCAUAGUUGUAUGUAGUACGUUAGAUAGUUCAUCCUACCUGUUUGCUACUUUGUAUCAUUUACCCUUCAUCUCCUCAUGUACUCCCACCCUGGCAACUGCUGUUUUAUUCUCUAUCUCUAUAUAUUUGACCUUUUCUUUUUUGGUAGAUUCUACAUAUCUAAGUAAGAAUAUGCAAUAUUUGCCUUCCUGUGGCUGGCUUAUUUCACUUAGCAUAAUAUUCUCCAAGUCCACCCAAGUUGUGGCAAAUGACAGGAUGCCCUCCUUUUAAAUCUGCUUUAAAGUGUUUAUAAGGAGACUGCAGGUAAAUUUUCAAAAUGUUAAUUCCUUUCAAAUCAAUCAAAGAAAAUUUUCUUUAAUAUUCUCAGAACCAACGCUUCAGGAUACUUUUGUAGGUCUUACUCAGAAAUAAGACUCUUUGUGAAAUUCUCAGACAGGUUCACUUUUAAUGUCAAAUUGGGUUGUGUUUGUUUGUUUCUGUGAUAGGUAAGUUAGAUAAUAUAUUAUACCUGCUACUACAUAUACAAAUGUCUGUAAUCAUGGCUUAACAGUAGGAAAAGACUAGAAAUAGUUUUACUGUAAACAUAAUUCUUUUAAUGUUUUAGUAAUAAGUGGCAUUUAUUUAUUGAAUAUUCUUGUCAGUUGAUUAUAGAUGUUUGUAAAAUAACAGGCUUAUUAGAGAUUUACUGAGUAGAUAAAUGACAUAAGGAUUAAUACUCAGUAAAUAGUUAAUUUGUUUUUAAAUUUGUUUAUAGAAAUAUCCCAUAUUAACACUUUAUUUUUUAAUGUAUUAGUAGAAUUUUUAUUCAACAUCAUGUAUUUCAGAAUUUCUACAUUAAAAAGUCACGAUCAAUAUAAUAACCGUUCUAGUAUAAGAUAGUAGAAUUUGGUCAGAUAAUUUAAUUGAUAAAGAUAUUUAUUUCUUUUCUUAACAGUAUAUAGUUACUAGCAUUCUAGUAAAUGCCAUUCCUAGUAUGUCUGGGUUUGAUAUGCAGCAAUAUUCUAAGAAAGCCUCAGUUUGUGGUCAGAUUUAAUUUUUUUAUUACGGUGACUAAGUUUAAUUAGGAAGUUUGAUUUGUACUCCUUACUUGACUAGUUCAGGAAAUCAGUUUAUUGGAAUCUUUUUCCAUUCACAAUUAUUCUCUGGAUUUGGAUAUGUAAUAGAAAAUGUAGUCAGAAAAUAAUUGAAUAAGGAGGCAUUGAGCUGAUCUUCAAUCCCUGGGUGUUUCUAACAGGAUAGAUAGAAUCUUUUGGAAUAGAAAUGUAUGGUAGGUAUAUUCAUUAGUACAUUUCAGUAAGGGAGCAUUAUGUGAUAAUUCUUAGUAAGUAGAAAGGUCUAAUCAUGAUCUUUGCUUUACCUCAGGCCAUUGAUAGUUCGUAUAUAUUUUCCCUCUUCUUUUGACAUUUACAUUGGAUUUUAAUGCAAUAAUUCUGGAAUUAAAAAUCUUGUUCUAAUAGGGCUCAUCCAAGGUCAUAGUUUUAUUUUAUUAAAUGAAUAGUUAUUUGUUAACAGCUUGCUAAGUAGUAGGCUGAGGAUACACAUGUGAACAAAACAGUCCAAGUUCCUGUUCAUUUGGACCUUUUGUUCCAUCAGAGAGAGGUAAACAAUGAAGUAAGCAAAUUACAACAAACAAAAAUUUCAGAAAAUUGUAAGGGUCAUAAAGGAGUAUAACGUGAUAGUGAUUUGGAAGAGGCUGUUUAUGGCUGUUAAGAAAGCCUUCUCUGAUAAGAUAUUAUUGAGCUAAGGCUUUUAUGAUGAGAAAGGGGCUGCUAUGGGAAAAGCCAGUGGAACAGUGUUCCCAGGAUAGGGAUCAGUGGGAAUAAAAGGCCUAAGAGAGAAUAAGUGUGGCAAGCCCCAGGAACUAAAAAAGACCUAACUCCCUGGAGUGUAGAAAAAGAGAGAAAGAGUAAUAUGAGAUGGGGACUGAGGAGAGCUCAGCACAGGUCAAAUCCUGAUGGAUUUUGAAAGCCAUAGUAAAGGGUUUAGACUUAACUCUUAAUAUGAGAUGAGAAGCCAUAAGUUUAUAAACAGGUAAAUUACAUAAUAUUUACAGGUUCAAAAUAUUAUUCUGAGAGAGGAGUGGAUUGUAGUAGAGCAAAUAGUGAACCAAGGUGGACAGUAAUUAGCAGACUAUUGAAGUGGACAUGUUUAGAGCAAAUAGUGUCUUGCACUAGGGAGGUCUUGGAGUGGGGAGGGGGGGGAGAGAGAGAGAGUGAAUUCAGAAUGUAUUUUAUGGUAUUUACAACCAAGGGGACUAAAUGAACAUUAUCCUGGGAAGAGAGUAGCAACACAGAAGCCAGAAGAGGAAACUAUUUCCAUAAGGAGGAAGUGGCUAAUGGAAGCCACUACAUGAAAAGGAAAGGUAAAAUGCCAUAAUACUGUAGCACUUGAUAUUUUUCCUUAUGGCUAUAGUUUACCAGUAUCUCUGUCAGUUUUCUUUAUUGACUGAAAACUGAUUUAAUGUCUGCCUCUACACCUAUACAUCUGUUCAGCCUUUGUUUCCAAACACUUUGAAGAAAAGAGGAAAAGCUGUGACAACUUUAACAAAGAAGUGGCAAAGUGGACCAAGGAAAAGAGCCAAAAUAUCAUGGCCCCCCAAAACCUGGGAUUUGAGAGAGAAGAGAAAAAUAACAACAACAGCUUCCCUACCUGCUCCAUAGGACAUAAAGAGCUAAGGACACAGUCUAAUUUUGCCUAGGAGAUGAAGCUAAAAGGAACAUUCAUAAAAGAAGUUUUGGAUAUGAGGCAUAUGCUCAAACUUGAGAUAAUCAAGAGCAUUAUGAAGAAAUUUAGAAGGACAGGGAAGGAUACAGAAUUGGGUGAGAUUCAGAGAUAUAUGGAUUACUAUGAGGAUAAGAGUCUGAUGAUGGCUAGAGAAACAGACUUCUGGUAACUUCGAUAUUUAGAAAUAUGAGGAAUAGCAGUCUCUUAGGGGAAGAUGGGCAGUUAGAGUUAUAGUCCAGCUUGUUGUUUUAAGGGUAUGAUACCACUGACCUUUCUUUUCUGCUUCUUGUAAUUAUGUGGUGAGUUUUGAUGGGGGACAAGCAGGAGUAGUUAAAUACUGAAGUCACUAACGGUUAGGGGAAGAGUUGGCUCAAAUGAACUAACUGGAGGAUACCCAAGUACUUAUUUACAGGAGGCAGAUUAAUGAGUAGAGGCAGGAAACCAAAAACUGCAUGGAGAGUAUACAGGAAACCAAAGACUCAGAGAUUCCCCUCUAAAGGAAAGGCCAGAGGGUGACAGAGAGCCAGUCAUCUGUCCUCACAUGGAUUAGAGGCUAGUAAGUCACCAAAAGUCCAAGGAUCUGUCUUCAAGUGGAUUAGAAGUCAGAAGGACAGUCCAGAGGAAGACUAGGUUUGAGACUGUGGAUAAUUGUGUAUUCCUGUAAUAGCGCAUGAAUAUACCUGACAGGGAUCACACUCUGUUACAUCCAGGUAAUAUCUACUCUGGUAUUCUGCCAGUUGUCAGGCCUCAUCUAUAGCAUUUUAAUAAUUCAGAAUAAAAGAGACAAGGAUAGGAGAGAGACUUUUAUGAAAGAAGAAGGAUUGGAAUUAACAGAAAUACAUUGUGGAAACAUAGAUCUCUAUAAUAUUCUGAGACUUGUAUUUUUAAAACUAAGUUUGUAAUGGGUAAGUCAGAUUUUGUUCAUAGUGUCACAGAAACGUACCUGAAAUGUAGCUACCUAUUUUGACCUGUACUCAAGCAGGUGUCUGACAGAUGUAUUAUCUAUUUCCACAUGUCACUAUUAGCCCCUAUAACUCUUAAGAUAUUCUGAUAUUCUUUAAUUUACAAUUCUAUAAUAAUUAAUGUUGAAAAAUGGGUAAUAACAUACUCCAUUGUGUGUUCACAUCAGGGAAUACAAAAAUAAUUUUUAGCAAAUGAGUUGCAGAAUUUCUGAGCUUCGCCUUCAUACCCAAAGUCACAUUAUUUUUCUAAAUAUAUUGUGUAUGCUGAAGCUAUUUUUUAUUUUUUAUUUUUUUUAAUUUUU